rnacentral:rRNA from 1 species
GAUGAACGCUGGCGGCGUGCCUAAUACAUGCAAGUCGAGCGAACAGACGAGGAGCUUGCUCCUCUGACGUUAGCGGCGGACGGGUGAGUAACACGUGGAUAACCUACCUAUAAGACUGGGAUAACUUCGGGAAACCGGAGCUAAUACCGGAUAAUAUAUUGAACCGCAUGGUUCAAUAGUGAAAGACGGUUUUGCUGUCACUUAUAGAUGGAUCCGCGCCGCAUGAGCUAGUUGGUAAGGUAACGGCUUACCAAGGCAACGAUGCGUAGCCGACCUGAGAGGGUGAUCGGCCACACUGGAACUGAGACACGGUCCAGACUCCUACGGGAGGCAGCAGUAGGGAAUCUUCCGCAAUGGGCGAAAGCCUGACGGAGCGGCGCCGCGUGAGUGAUGAAAGUCUUCGGAUCGUAAAACUCUGUUAUUAGUGGAGAACAAAUGUGUAAGUAACUAUGCACGUCUUGACGGUACCUAAUCAGAAAGCCCCGGCUAACUACGUG